GUUUGCACGUUCUCCCCGUGCCCGCGUGGGUUUUCUCCGGGCACUCCGCUUUCCUCCCACAUCCCAAAAACAUGCAUGGUAGGUUGAUUGACAACUCUAAAUUGCCCGUAGGUGUGAAUGGUUGUUUUCUUAUAUGUGCCCUGCGAUUGGCUGGUGACCAGUUAAGGGUGUACCCCACCUCUCGCCCAGAUUCAGCUGGGAUAGGCCCCAGCAUGCCCCCGACCCUAGUGAGGAUAAGCGGUACGGAAAAUGAAUGAAUGAAUUGUUUUCUUUUUUUUGAUUGAUACCGCUCGUCGUGUGCUGCAAGUACUCACUUGUUGCUUUAAAAACCCAAAUUACACACAUGAAAAAAAUCCCUAUUCUCUUCUUUUCCAUGCUCUCUCUCUCUCUCUCUCUCUCUCUCUCUCUCUAUCUCUCAUACGUGUUCUCUAUCGCCGUUUCUGUGUUAAAUUGAUGAGUUAAAGUCCCCUCUUUUUCUGAUUGGUGUAUAGUGGUCUGUAUAAUAUUGAAUGAAUAUUUCUCAAUUGCAAAAACACAAAACCUUAUUGUCAGAACCAAAUGCUCAGUGCCCUAAAGCCAGUGCCCUGUUUGUUGAAGUUUCACUAUGGAUAGAGACAAUCAGAGAGACAGAGGCAGAGUAAGACUAAGAGGUGGUCCAGGAGGAAGAGGAGAGGGAGGAGUUAGAAUUCAAGGAACUAUUACGUAUCGUAUUUCAGAUGACUUUCGUAGGCCAUGUACAUUACCACGGUUUGACAAUGAGGGAGGCGGGAAUGCAGGGAGUGGCGCCCGACCUAAGAAAAUUCACUGCGUCCACCGCAGUCGAAAGAUUCUGAGACGUGAACAGGGUCGCGGGACGCCGGAGCCUAUCCCGGCUGACUUCGGGCGAAAGGCGGACGACACCCUGAACCGGUCGCCAGUCAGUCGCAGGGCACAUAUAGACACGGACAACCAUUCGCACUCCCAUUCACGCCGUCACUGAGUGGGAACUGAACCCACGCUGCGGGGGGAGCCAAAGUCAGGCGAGUGGACCGCUACACCAUCAGUGACACAUAUAUAUAUAUAUAUUGAUAUAUGCGUUUGUAUGUUUGUGUGUUUGGUUGUGUACGUGCGUGAAUCUGAUCAUCUUUCCACCAUAUUCCCGUCUCAGCACAUUCCUGAGCCUCUUCCAUGCGAUGUGUCCAUGUGUCAGGGAACAGCUUCCUGUUGUGGAUGGAAUGUUCCCCAAAACGUCUGAAAGAACACUCACUAGUGCCCUGAGCUCCAGCUCAAAUACUGUUAAGCUCCCUUGAGGAUGGUGGAGGAACCAGGCUGAAAAAACUACAAACAAAGAGAAGAAAUUUCAGGGUGGCGGUGGCCAGAGAACGUGUAUGCGAGGUUGAAGUUGAAUAACAACGGACCAAACACGAUGAGAAAAUGUGCUUUGGCAGUCAUGAUGUAAAUAACUACAACCCCAUUUCCAAUGAAGUUGGGACGUUCGAUCGAAGGUCACGGCCAUUCAAUGUUGCCGCUUCCAUGCAGCGAUUUCUCCAGAUUCUCUCAACCUUUUGAUGAUAUUAUGGAGCGUAGAUGAUGAAAUCCCGCAAUUCCUUGCAAUUGUACAUUGAGGAACAUUGUCCUUCAACUGUUCGACUAUUUUCUCACACACUUGUUGACAAAGAGGUGAACCUCGCCCCAUCUUUGCUUGUGAAUGACGGAGCAAUUCAGGGAAGCAAUCACGGCACCCACCUGUUCCCAAUGGGCCUGUUCACCUGUGGGAUGUUCCAAACACGUGUUUGAUGAGCAUUCCUCAGCUUUCUCUGUCUUUUUUUGCCACCUCUCUCAGCUUUGUUGGAACGUGUUGCAGCCAUCAAAUUCUAAAUUCAUGAUUAUUUGCUAAAAACAAUCAAGUUGAUCAGUUUGAACAUUAAAUAUCUUGUCAUUGUAGUGUAUCCAAUGAAAUAUAGGUUGAAGAUGAUUUGCAAAUCGUUGUAGUCUGUUUUUAUUUAUGUCCCAACUUCAUUGGAAUUGGGCUUGUAAUUGGCGUCAACUCCUGGUGAAGGUCUGCAUUAUCUAUGCACCAAUAUUCCCUGGAAUUGUCUCAAGAUGGAGAAAGACAAAGAGGGCAAUCUCUGCAGUGUUUGUAAACAGACAACCAGAGGAAUCCAAGCUAUGAAAACCCGCCAUGAGUUUGGUAGUGUCUACACGUCCAUGCAAACAUAGUGAGACACAUACACACGGAUAACAAUGCAGUGCGAACGCGAGCCGUUUGCAAGUUUAAGGGUUACAAUUUUCACAGUGGGCAUGUGUGCGUCUGACUGCAUUCUUUUUCAUCUUCAUGUCAGGCUUCUUCAAGUGUCAUUUUUGUGGCGCUUCCGUGCUCAGAAUGGAAAACUGUAACCUUGAGUGACUCUGUGGAGAAUUUCUUUCACAAAGAGCCACAAGGCCACACCUGCCUGAGUGAAAACAGCAUUGGAAUUCUGAUGUAAAUGGGCGACCCCAGUGAGGAGAAGCGGCUCAGAAAAUGGAUGGCUGGAUGGAUAUGUGUUGCUGUUGUAGCGACACGGUGUGUGCUGGUUAGCGCAUCUGUCACACAGUUCUGAGGACCGGGCUUCAAAUCUCCACCUGUGUGGAGUUUGCAUGUUCUCCCCGUGCCUGCGUGGGCUUUUCUCCGGGCACGCCGGUUUCCUCCCACAUCCCAGAAACAUGCGUGGUAGGUUGAUUGGUACAGAAAAUGGAUGGAUGGAUGGAUAAUACAUAUAAGUGUACCGUUGCAAGAAAAAGUAUGUGACCCCCUGGGAAUUACCUGGAUUUCUGCAUAAAUUACAAAUAAAAUGUAUUCUGAUCUUCAUUUAAUUCACAACGGUCUGCUUAAACUAAUACCACGCAAUUAUGUUUUACUUUUCCAUGUUUGUAUUGAAUAAGCCAUGUAAACAGGACAAUGCAGAAUAGAAAAUGAUGUGAGUCUUUGGAGCUGAUAACUGGUUCAAGCUCCUUUAGCAGCAAUAACUGCGAACCAAACGUUUCCUUUUCCUGUAGUUUGCAGAUCAGGCCUCCAUAACAGUCAAGAGGAAUUUCAGGCCAUUCCUUUUUACAAAAAUGUUGGAGUUCGACUGUCUUCUAGGGAUGUGUGUUGUGAAUCACUUGAGGUCACACCACAGCAUCUCAAUAGGGUUGAGGUUAGGACUCUGACUGGGUCACUCCAGAUGGCGUAUUUUGUUCUGUUUUAGACUUUCUGCUGUUGAUUCACUUCUGUCCUUUGGGUCAUUGUCUUGUUGGAUCACUCAUCCUAUAAUGACUUUCAUUUGGCAGACAAAAUUGUUUUAGCUUCUCCUACAAAAUGUCUUGCCAAACCUGGGAAUUCAUUUUCCCGUUGAUGAUGGGAAUGCAUCCAGGCCCUAAGGCAGCAAAAAAAGUCUCAAACCAUGCAACAAGUAACCUAAUUCAUUAGUUUUAAUCAUAAUAACGCCGUUGCUGUCGCUAACAAAACAAGGGUGCGCAUCACCUAUUCGUUUAUCGAAGCUGCUUUCAUCAGACCAACCGACUCGAGCUCUAAAGUGAGAGGCGUUUUCAUUGUUAUUGUUUUCUGUUCCUCCUUGUGAGGGAGCAUGGAACAACCGCAUAAGUGAUGAUGAUUGGCUGAGGCGGGGUCAAAUGUCAUUGUAAGCCAAUCAGUGUCAUGUUGCUGCCUUUGUGCCUGCUUGUGUUUGUGUUUAUGUUUCAGCCAAGCACACAUGAACGUGCUGUGUCAUAACGUUCCCAUGAAGUAAAAGGUUCAUUUUAUGGACAUAUGUACAAAGGGAUGUGUGCGGUGUACAAGUUCUCAGUAAAAGAAGCCAUACACAAGUUUGUGGUCUUUCUAUCACGUUUCAACAUUAGGUAUUAGAAGUUCAAUUCCAAGUCAGUUUCUGUCCAAAAGGCAAUAUGUGGUACAGCUGCAUGAAACUGACCGCCAUGACUCCAGACUCUUAUGAAAGAACUGCUCUUGAUGGGUGGCGUACUAUUGUCAAUAAAAUCUCAAAGACAGGCUGAUAUGUAACAUAUAUAAAGCAGAAGAUUUGUCACGCAUGUAGAUGGAUGUA